rnacentral:lncRNA from 1 species
UGGAAUUUCAUUUCAUUCCAGAUGGUUCCUGGAACUUUUCCUUCUGCUUCUCUCAGGACCGGUUUUGCGAGGGGAGGAGCCGGCGGGCUCCCUAUUGGUGCCCCUUUUCUUUGUGAAUGGAAAGUCCCAAAUACUGUAAAGUAUGACUUGUGUGUCAAUGGAUGGGGGGUGUCUCUUGGUAGGGUGGGUCCUGUCUGGAGUUCGGUUGUGUUGGCGAGUGGGGGUCUGUAGAGGGCUGGGCGCACUGGUUCCGUCUCUAGGGAUGGAUGUGGGCUUUGAAAGUCGUAUGUUGCGAUUAAAUCAUCAUCAUCCCAAGCUGUUUCUUUUGGUCUCCGUGAU